AAGACUAUACUUUCAGGGAUCAUUCCUAUAGUUUGUUUCUAAUCAUGUGGACAAAGAUUAAACUACAAAGAUGUUCAUCACAGAGUUGU
rnacentral:snoRNA from 1 species